rnacentral:rRNA from 1 species
UUAAAUUGAAGAGUUUGAUCAUGGCUCAGAUUGAACGCUGGCGGCAGGCCUAACACAUGCAAGUCGAACGGUAACAGGAAGCAGCUUGCUGCUUUGCUGACGAGUGGCGGACGGGUGAGUAAUGUCUGGGAAACUGCCUGAUGGAGGGGGAUAACUACUGGAAACGGUGGCUAAUACCGCAUAACGUCGCAAGACCAAAGAGGGGGACCUUCGGGCCUCUUGCCAUCAGAUGUGCCCAGAUGGGAUUAGCUAGUUGGUGAGGUAACGGCUCACCAAGGCGACGAUCCCUAGCUGGUCUGAGAGGAUGACCAGCCACACUGGAACUGAGACACGGUCCAGACUCCUACGGGAGGCAGCAGUGGGGAAUAUUGCACAAUGGGCGCAAGCCUGAUGCAGCCAUGCCGCGUGUAUGAAGAAGGCCUUCGGGUUGUAAAGUACUUUCAGCGGGGAGGAAGGUGUUGUGGUUAAUAACCGCAGCAAUUGACGUUACCCGCAGAAGAAGCACCGGCUAACUCCGUGCCAGCAGCCGCGGUAAUACGGAGGGUGCAAGCGUUAAUCGGAAUUACUGGGCGUAAAGCGCACGCAGGCGGUCUGUCAAGUCGGAUGUGAAAUCCCCGGGCUCAACCUGGGAACUGCAUUCGAAACUGGCAGGCUUGAGUCUUGUAGAGGGGGGUAGAAUUCCAGGUGUAGCGGUGAAAUGCGUAGAGAUCUGGAGGAAUACCGGUGGCGAAGGCGGCCCCCUGGACAAAGACUGACGCUCAGGUGCGAAAGCGUGGGGAGCAAACAGGAUUAGAUACCCUGGUAGUCCACGCCGUAAACGAUGUCUACUUGGAGGUUGUGCCCUUGAGGCGUGGCUUCCGGAGCUAACGCGUUAAGUAGACCGCCUGGGGAGUACGGCCGCAAGGUUAAAACUCAAAUGAAUUGACGGGGGCCCGCACAAGCGGUGGAGCAUGUGGUUUAAUUCGAUGCAACGCGAAGAACCUUACCUGGUCUUGACAUCCACAGAACUUUCCAGAGAUGGACUGGUGCCUUCGGGAACUGUGAGACAGGUGCUGCAUGGCUGUCGUCAGCUCGUGUUGUGAAAUGUUGGGUUAAGUCCCGCAACGAGCGCAACCCUUAUCCUUUGUUGCCAGCGGUCAGGCCGGGAACUCAAAGGAGACUGCCAGUGAUAAACUGGAGGAAGGUGGGGAUGACGUCAAGUCAUCAUGGCCCUUACGACCAGGGCUACACACGUGCUACAAUGGCGCAUACAAAGAGAAGCGACCUCGCGAGAGCAAGCGGACCUCAUAAAGUGCGUCGUAGUCCGGAUUGGAGUCUGCAACUCGACUCCAUGAAGUCGGAAUCGCUAGUAAUCGUGGAUCAGAAUGCCACGGUGAAUACGUUCCCGGGCCUUGUACACACCGCCCGUCACACCAUGGGAGUGGGUUGCAAAAGAAGUAGGUAGCUUAACCUUCGGGAGGGCGCUUACCACUUUGUGAUUCAUGACUGGGGUGAAGUCGUAACAAGGUAACCGUAGGGGAACCUGCGGUUGGAUCACCUCCUUACCUUAAAGAA